rnacentral:rRNA from 1 species
UACGAAGGGUGCUGGCGUUGUUCGGAAUCACUGGGCGUAAAGCGCGCGUAGGCGGCUUGACAAAUCAGGGGUGAAAUCCCAGAGCUUAACUCUGGAACUGCCUUUGAAACUGUCAAGCUGGAGUGUCGGAGGGGACGGCGGAAUUGCUAAUGUAGAGGUGAAAUUCGUAGAUAUUAGCAGGAACACCGGUGGCGAAGGCGGCCAUCUGGACGACAACUGACGCUGAGGCGCGAAAGCGUGGGGAUCAAACAGG